GGAGGGGCCACCAGAUGUCUUCUGUUUACAGCCACAUUGUGUGUGGGUGACCACAUAGGCAGCCAGCAUACCUCCAAAGAUGAACUAAUGUGCCAUGCCACCCCCAGCACCCCCAGGGCAGGACUCCCAGUAUUGGGUGUUCUGGGGGUCUUUGUAGGUCAGGAAGGGUGCAUACACUGCAUGCCUAUGAUCCCAAGACUCUGCAGGCAGCUGCAAGGAGGAUUGCUAUAAACUUGAGGCCACCCUGACCUCCACAGUAAUGGUCAGGCCAGCCAGGGUCUCAUAACAAGAUUGUCUUAAAAAAAAAUGUAAAGGAGCCAGGCAGGGUGGCACAGGCCUUUGAUCCUAGUCAGGAGGCAGUGACAGGCAGAUCUGUCAAUUCGAGGCCGGCCUGGUCUACACAGAGAGACCCUGUCUUAAAGAAACAAAACAAAACCGGUAAGGUUCUGCACAGUGGGGAGGUGUUUGCCACGUGAGCGUGAGUGCACAUGUGUGACCCCCACACCCAUGGAGGAGCCUGGGAGAGCCAGACAUAGGGUGCCCAGGGGACAGGGAGAAUCAGGCAGCCAUGGGCUACCCCAGUGCGCAGCCACACAAACGCACACACAGACUGGCUCUGUUGUGAACACGGCUGGCUUCAUUUCCUUUCUUUUUUUACAUUGUUGGUUUGGUUUUGAAACUGGCCUGGAACUCACAGAGAUCCUCCUGCCUCUGCAUCCCAAGUGCUUUGUUAAAGAUGUAAGGUACCAAACCCAAGUCUAUUCAGAAAUAUUUUUGGUUUUGUUUGUUUGUUUGUCUUUGUUUUUGUUUUGAGACAGGCUCUUACUAUGUAGCCCUGGCUGUCCUGGAACUUAUUCUGUAGGCCAGACUGGCCUCCAACUCACAGAUCCACCUGCCUCUGCCCCCAAGUGUCAGCCAGCUCAUCUGGAGAUUUUUGGGAUUACUGAUAACUGGUUUCUAGUGGCCACCCUCCUGGGAACAGUAUCUGGGCUAACCUGGGAUCCAGUAAUGAAUUCACUUGUGGCUCCCACCCUUAGAUCUGCAGUUCCUGGAAGGUGGUGACAGGAACCUCUCUCUUCAGUGGCAGCCUAUUGUGUAGCAAAACUAUGUGUGUUGUGUGGCCCCUGUGGGCCACAGGACCAAACUCCAGCAGGUCCCUGUCUGUCAUGCCAUGGAGGGUGUAGCAGAAUAUGACUGUUCCCAGCUCCAACUUUUGAGCCUCAUGGCCAUUCCCUGAGACCUCUGCACUCUCAAGACCCUGAGGAAUUCUGGUUACUUUUCCAGAGGCUGCCACUAAACUAAAUGUGUACAGUUUAAGCUUGGUUGCCUGAGCCCAGGGCUGAGAGACACCCCUGGGUACUUCCCGAAGUCACUGUGCCCAAUACCCAGCUCUGGAAGAAUCAGGGACCAGCCCUCAAGGCUUGACUGAGUGUAUUUCUCACCUGUAAGACUUGGCCACCUUGCCAAAUCCCAGCAGCCCAGGGAGGGGUCCACCUGCCUCAUUCACUCCCACCUCUGUGCCAGCCUAAGAAUAAAGUGGUCCUCUCCAUACUGCGGGCUGCUCCUUGUUGUUUCUGCCCAGCUCCCUUCUUGAAAGAUGGCCUGGUGACAAGCUUUGAUAACAGCCUGUUCGACCACGAAGGGCCCAGGUACUACAAGAUAACAUGAAACGACAUAGAAAGCAGACUCAGUAUAGCUGACAACUUUCUUUCCUUUUGAGAUGGGGUUUUCCUUUUGUUGCAUGAAUGUGAGUUAUGUGUGUUGUGUGGCCACUGUGAGUGUGAAGGUCAGAGGACAACUCUCUGCCUUUUACCCCUAACCACGCCCCCAGGCCCCUUACUGGGGAAUUCUAGGCAGGGCCUUCAUGCCAGUCCUCCAGCCCCUCUGAUUUAAGUGAAAAGCAUACAGUUUGUUUGUUUGUUUGUUUUUGUUUUGUUUUUUGUUUGUUUGUUUGUUUGUUUGUUUGUUUUUGAGACAGGGUUUCUCUGUAUAGCCCUGGCUGUCCUGGAACUCACUCUGCAGACCAGGCUGGUCUCGAACUCAGAAAUCCGCCUGCCUCUGCCUCCCAAGUGCUGGAAUUAAAGGUGUGCACCACCACUGCCCGGCCUACAGUUUUGACAGCCGUCUGAAUCUCCAUGUUCGUUUUAUGGUUGUAGAUCCCAACAUUAGAGCAACUUUGUUUAGAGUAAUCUCCUGCUUAGCCCUUCCAGGUGGUUUGAAACAAGCCUCACUGACUUCCAGUUUAUGCCGAUCCGAUCCUCCUGCUUCUGCCUCCCAAAUUGUAAGUUUGCCUUGUGUACCCUGCUGGAGCAGCUGUUGAAGGCUCACCUGUGUGUGCUGAGGCAGCUCUCAGAGGUGCCCCUUGCAAUGCCGCUUCUCAUUCAUAGAGGGCGAUGCGGCCUAAGGAAGGAAAGUGCCACUGAGUGCUGGUGAAGCCACUGGGCUGGUCCCCAGCUUCCUCCCUGCCUGGCUUCUCUGGCCUUGAGAUGAGUAGCUAGAGCUGGAGGGAAGAGCACUUCUUUUUAGUGUCAGACAGGUUAAGGAGAAAUGUGAUGUACAAGAGACACGAGUGUCCCAGGUUUGGGAUGGAGAUGGCCUGUGCCUAUCACAUGGUCGGAUGAUCUACUUCACUAAGUAAUACUGUUGAAAGGCACUGUCUUUCCC
rnacentral:lncRNA from 1 species